UACGGAGGGUGCAAGCGUUAUCCGGAUUCACUGGGUUUAAAGGGAGCGUAGGUGGGCUUGUAAGUCAGUGGUGAAAUCUCCGUGCUUAACACGGAAACUGCCAUUGAUACUAUAGGUCUUGAAUUUUCUGGAGGUUAGCGGAAUAUGUCAUGUAGCGGUGAAAUGCUUAGAUAUGACAUAGAACACCAAUUGCGAAGGCAGCUUACUACAGGGACAUUGACACUGAGGCACGAAAGCGUGGGGAUCAAACAGG
rnacentral:rRNA from 1 species